rnacentral:rRNA from 1 species
UACGGGGGGGGCAAGCGUUGUUCGGAAUUACUGGGCGUAAAGGGCUCGUAGGCGGCCAACUAAGUCGGAUGUGAAAUCCCCAGGCUUAACCUGGGAACUGCAUCCGAUACUGGAUGGCUUGAAUCCGGGAGAGGGAUGCAGAAUUCCAGGUGUAGCGGUGAAAUGCGUAGAUAUCUGGAGGAAUACCGGUGGCGAAGGCGGCAUCCUGGACCGGCAUUGACGCUGAGGAGCGAAAGCCAGGGAGCAAACGGG